rnacentral:rRNA from 1 species
UACGAAGGGGGCUAGCGUUGUUCGGAAUUACUGGGCGUAAAGCGCACGUAGGCGGAUAUUUAAGUCGGGGGUGAAAUCCCGGGGCUCAACCCCGGAACUGCCUUCGAUACUGGGUAUCUUGAGUUCGGAAGAGGUGAGUGGAAUUGCGAGUGUAGAGGUGAAAUUCGUAGAUAUUCGGAAGAACACCAGUGGCGAAGGCGGCUCACUGGACCGGCAUUGACGCUGAGGUGCGAAAGCGUGGGGAGCAAACAGG